ensembl:lncRNA
CUGUACUGGAACCACAGAAUUAGAAUGACUCUGAUUCUAUGAUUCUAAUUCUAUACACUGUACUGGAACCACAGAAUUAGAAUGACUCUGAUUCUAAGAUUCUAAUUCUAUACACUGUACUGGAACCACAGAAUUAGAAUGACUCUGAUUCUAUGAUUCUAAUUCUAUACACUGUACUGGAACCACAGAAUUAGAAUGACUCUGAUUCUAAGAUUCUAAUUCUAUACACUGUACUGGAACCACAGAAUUAGAAUGACUCUGAUUCUAUGAUUCUAAUUCUAUACACUGUACUGGGACAUUGGUAUGCGCUGUAUACUGUAGAAUCCCAGCAGCUGAUAACGGCAUUGAUCAGGUCCAACAAGGGAUGAUAUGUUACAAGAACACUGGACAUUUUCACACUGUAUCUCUGUAUCACUGUAUCUUGCCCAAUGGAUUUAAUAAUGCUUAACCACUAGCCAAAUACGAUGUGUGUUUAAGAAGUACUUUCUUAGCUAUAUAUUUUCUGUUUUAUUUUGUUUGAAUGGUAGAAGAUCAGAGACGACUUUCUGCUCUGGAUCGUGAUGUUGAUAGUCUCUCCAGACAUGUUGAUAGUCUCUCCCGUAGUCUCUCCAGACAUCUGCUUUGCCUCCCACAAUUUUCAAAUGCUCCAACUUAGGGUCUGGUUUUCAAGACUAGACAACACAAGUAUUGACAUCUGAACAGCGUUUUUUUUAAACCCCUGGUGCCUUAUCUUUCUCUAUAAAACAGGAAGGCUGUCAUCUUAUCACCAGACAGAAGCAGCUCAUGGACUUGAUUGAAUGCUGUUCAUGUCUGAGCUAAUAGAGGCAUCCAUUUUGUGACCUGGGACUUGUAUAACCGAACAAGAAAGAAAGGGUUACCAGAGGUCACUCUAACACCUUCCUGAAUGAGUCCAGAGAUCACUCUAACAUUCUCCUGAAUGAGUCCAGAGGUCACUCUAACAUUCUCCUGAAUGAGUCCAGAGAUCACUCUAACACCUUCCUGAAUGAGUCCAGAGAUCACUCUAACAUUCUCCUGAAUGAGUCCAGAGGUCACUCUAACAUUCUCCUGAAUGAGUCCAGAGAUCACUCUAACACCUUCCUGAAUGAGUCCAGAGAUCACUCUAACAUUCUCCUGAAUGAGUCCAGAGGUCACUCUAACAUUCUCCUGAAUGAGUCCAGAGGUCACUCUAACAUUCUCCUGAAUGAGUCCAGAGAUCACUCUAACAUUCUCCUGAAUGAGUCCAGAGGUCACUCUAACAUUCUCCUGAAUGAGUCCAGAGAUCACUCUUACAUUCUCCUGAAUGAGUCCAGAGAUCACUCUAACAUUCUCCUGAAUGAGUCCAGAGAUCACUCUAACAUUCUCCUGAAUGAGUACAGAGGUCACUAUAACAUUCUCCUGAAUGAGUCCAGAGGUCACUCUAACAUUCUCCUGAAUGAGUCCAGAGGUCACUCUAACAUUCUCUGAAUGAGUCCAGAGGUCACGCUAACAUUCUCCUGAAUGAGUCCAGAGGUCACUCUAACAUUCUCCUGAAUGAGUCCAGAGGUCACUAACACCUUCCUGAAUGAGUCCAGAGGUCACUAACAUUCUCCUGAAUGAGUCCAGAGGUCACUCUAACAUUCUCUGAAUGAGUCCAGAGGUCACUAACAUUCUCCUGAUUGAGUCCAGAGGUCACUAACAUUCUCCUGAAUGAGUCCAGAGGUCACUCUACCACCUUCCUGAAUGAGUCCAGAGGUCACUAACACCUUCCUGAAAGAGUCCAGAGAUCACUAACACCUUCCUGAAUGAGUCCAGAGGUCACUAACACCUUCCUGAAUGAGUCCAGGGGUCACUAACACCUUACUGAAUGAGUCCAGAGGUCACUAACACCUUCCUGAAUGAGUCCAGAGAUCACUAACACCUUCCUGAAUGAGUCCAGAGGUCACUAACACCUUCCUGAAUGAGUCCAGGGGUCACUAACACCUUACUGAAUGAGUCCAGAGGUCACUAACACCUUCCUGAAUGAGUCCAGAGGUCACUAACACCUUCCUGAAUGAGUCCAGAGGUCACUAACACCUUCCUGAAUGAGUCCAGAGGUCACUAACACCUUCCUGAAUGAGUCCAGAGGUCACUAACACCUUCCUGAAUGAGUCCAGAGGUCACUAACACCUUCCUGAAUGAGUCCAGAGGUCACUAACACCUUCCUGAAUGAGUCCAGAGGUCACUAACAUUGAUUGCUCUAAAUCUGUGUAACACUUUUUGUCUUCCCCUCUCUGACGGGAAACAACACCCUGUCCCCGAAGUCAUGUUUAUACCUCCUCUGGAAAUAGUUUUUCAUAUGUCCUCUGUUAUUGUCUUUCCCUUUACUCACUGACCACUCCCCUCUUUGAUAUACUAUUGGCCAUGUUCCUCAUAUGUCGGAACUAUACACUACUUAUUAUAUACAUGUGUGAUGAAGGACCCUUUGGACAUCUGGUAUCUGAAUGGUAUCAAGUUAACAAAGUAUUCUGAUUCUGUGAUCAGGUGUGUUGAAACAGGUGUGUUGAAACACAGUCCCUCUAAGGUGUGUUGAAGAUCUCACCUGACCUGUUGUGUCAUGAGAAAUAUAAAUUUUAAAAAACAUAAUCAAAUGAAUAUACUUCAUUGAACAUGACAAAAUAUAAAGACAUUGUACUAUACUGUAUUACCAAUAUGAUGUUGACAUACAUGAGUACAGUGUAAUAUUUUAGCUUAUUUAUAAUGCACCAGCCAGCCUUUACAGUAAAACCAGCAUAGCAUUGUAUAUAUCAACUGAUUUAUGCUCUCUUGGGUGGUUGCAUCUGGUUCCAACUGGUUUCAACUGGUUUCAAAUGGUUCCAACUGGUUUCAACUGGUUCCAACUGGCUCCAUCUGGUUCCAACUGGUUCCACAUGGUUUCAACUGGUUCCAACUGGUUUCAACUGGUUCCAAAUGGUUCCAACUGGUUCCACAUGGUUUCAACUGGUUCCAACUGGUUUCAACUGGUUCCAAAUGGUUCCAACUUGUUCCACGUGGUUUCAACUGGUUUCAACUGGUUCCAAAUGGUUCCAACUAGUUCCAAAUGGUUCCAACUGGUUCCACGUGGUUUCAACUGGUUCCAACUGGUUCCAACUUGUUCCACGUGGUUUCAACUGGUUCCACGUGGUUUCAACUGGUUCCAAAUGGUUCCAACUAGUUCCAAAUGGUUCCAACUGGUUCCACGUGGUUUCAACUGGUUCCAACUGGUUCCACGUGGUUUCAACUGGUUCCAACUGGUUCCACGUGGUUUCAACUGGUUCCAACUGGUUUCAAAUGGUUCCAACUGGUUCCAAAUGGUUCCAACUGGUUCCAAGUGGUUCCAACUGGUUUUAAAUGGUAUAGAAAUUCAUCAACUGUUCCUGUGUAGCUUCAUUUUGUAACAAUGUAUGUUCCUUUUUAUGUUAUUUUAGUUAUAUCAUUAUACUGUUGACUGUUGUUACUCUAUCCUUGUUGUUGUUGUUGUUAUAUUAUUCAUAUGUAAACAUUGUUAUGCUAUAUUAUGAAACUCUGUGCCAAUCAAAAUCGCUAUUCGGCUUUUACCUGUCUCACUGGAUAAGAAAACACACACAGAGAGAGAAAGAGAGAGAGAGAGUAGAGAAUUGAAGGAGUUUGUCUGGUGGGAGUCCGUGAUGUCAUCGGGCUCCAUCUUGCUUGAGGAACUGCAGAGACCUAAGGAGGAAAGGCCAUCCUGUGUCACACCCUGUCACACCUGGACUACCGAUUGAGAUGUGGCUUUUGUUAAGGAAAUCAGGUGUUAAAUGACACUUUAAAUCUUUACUUCAUUUUUUAAAAUACGUUUAUCUUAUUACUCUAAUUCUUAUGGCUUAAAGCCCUUCAGAGCACUAAAAUACUUAAUGAAAGCAUAAAUACCCCUCCUUCAUUCACCUCUAUACUAUUCCUGUUCCUGCUUUUAAAGUCCUCCCUAUAAAUGUGUGAUUUUUAGUCUUACCUCUUACUUUAUUUUUAAUACACGAUCAUUACAUUUAUUUUGGAACCUUUGCUGUUUUGUAUUUUUGUGUUAAAGAGCAUGUUGCCAUAAUAUGAAUGCAGUGAAUAAAAUAUUGAUUGAAAACAAA